rnacentral:lncRNA from 1 species
CCGCCCAUCCGGAUGGGCGGCGCCGUCACGGGGGCGCGGCGGAGGGAGAGGUGGGAGAGCUCGGUGCGGAGGAGGACGACCUGGGCAUUGGGAGAAGCCAGGGUUCUCGAGAAGGAGAGGGUCUGCGGAGGGGUCGGGAGGAGGAGAGACAUCCGCAGGGUGGACAUUCCGUUCGUCUUCCUUGUUCUGCAGCUCGAGACGUGACCGGAGCGAGGAGCGGCCGCCGGGAAAUACGGUGGGUGGCGAGGGAUGAAGAUGAUAACGGGGC